AUAUUGCACAAUGGGGGAAACCCUGAUGCAGCUACGUCGCGGGAGUGAAGAAGUAUUUCGGUAUGUAAAGCUCUAUCAGCAGGGAAGAAAAUGACGGUACCUGACUAAGAAGCCCCGGCUAACUACGUGCCUGCAGCCGCGGUAAUCCGUAGGGGGCAAGCGUUAUCCGGAUUUACUGGGUGUAAAGGGAGCGUAGGUGGCGAGUCAAGUCAGAUGUGAAAGCCAGGGGCUCAACCCCGGGAUUGCAUUUGAAACUGGUUUGCUAGAGUGCAGGAGAGGUAAGUGGGAUUCCUAGUGUAGCGGUGAAAUGCGUAGAUAUUAGGAGGAACGCCAGUGGCGAAGGCGGCUUACUGGACUGUAACUGACACUGAGGCUCGAAAGCGUGAGGAGCAAACA
rnacentral:rRNA from 1 species